AAUGCUGUGGUCUAAUACAAACAUUGAUAUGUCCUAAGUUGUUUAACACAUCUAGAUGUGAAUACCAGGAAAUAAAAGCUGAAAUUCUGAACUCUUGUCUACUCAUCUUAAACUCAAAUGUCUUCAUUGCACAACAACAAAACAAAGGAAUUUGCCUUACCGUUCCAAUACUUUUGGAGGGGAAUGUACAUUUGUGUUUGCAGGUGUUCCAGUUCCAUCGCUUCACAAAUGUUGAACCCAUGCAACCAAUUCUACUGUGAGCUUGAGAGAUACACACCACAUCUGAUUGUUCUGUACAGGCAGAAGGCCAAGACAGCAGAGGCCCUGCACAGAUCCUAAGGAUUUAUGAUAUUCAGGGCUGCCCUGAACACACAACACAAGAUAGAAAAUCCUCAGUUUCACUCAGAUUUUAUGUGCUGAGCAUGACUUUUUAUUUUUCUAUCUAUCCAAGAGACCAACUCCAUCCAUGAGGCAAUGACAGUUGCAGAGACACAAACAAGAGAGAUGUACUAUAGGCCUUCUCCACAAGCAGCUCACCUGUGGUUGUUUACACAGAAUCGUGGGUAAAAUGUUCAAAAUGCGAGCUCUGUUUUUUGGGCAGUAAAACAUACGGCUGACAAUGAAAUUCGAAAGCGGACAGAUAGCAGCCUGUAUGUGUUUGUCGCUGUAUGAUACAGCAAGAGAGAAACUGAAAAGGGCUAGUGUGUGUGCAGCAUUGUGUGGGAUAGAACUGUAGGUGCUUGUGCGAAUCUCCACUUCCCAAAACUGAAAAUUGAAUACCAACCCAAUGAAGGAAUAGUCGAAUAUUUGGGUCCAGCCCUACUGCACUGGCUUCCAAAUCUCUUUCAUUGUCAUGUUUAAGGUUAAAGUUAGCUUCUAUUUCUCACCCAUUGUUUGAGUCACUACGUUUGUGUGAAUUUGACUUGUCUUUAGGUAGAUGCAGCUGGAUAGAAUUGGUGUUAUUGCUAUCAAUAUUAUUAUUAUUUUAGAAUUACAUUGGUAGAACUGUUACACUAUAUGGUUUCAUGUACUGUAAAAAUAUUUGUAUAAUAAUCAAUAUUUUGAUUGUCAAUCUAGGAACAACAUGAGGUACACGUGAAAUGCUGUCCGACCCUCUGUACUCGGUGUACUCACAGAAAUGUCAAUAUUAACGACAAGUAAUAUGAAAUCUACUAUGAGAAACCAACUUGAAUGCCUCUUCAAGCAACUGACAAGUUUAAAGAGAUUAAAGGAUAGUGCAAAGAUGAACCAGACAUUGCUGACACUCCUUACUGUGGAAACUGGGAUGCAGCGGCGCUUUUUCCACAAAACACAUUAAAGUAAGUAGUAGAAGGAAA